AGUGAACGCUGGCGGUAGGCCUAACACAUGCAAGUCGAACGGCAGCACAGGAGAGCUUGCUCUCUGGGUGGCGAGUGGCGGACGGGUGAGGAAUACAUCGGAAUCUACUCUGUCGUGGGGGAUAACGUAGGGAAACUUACGCUAAUACCGCAUACGACCUACGGGUGAAAGCAGGGGACCUUCGGGCCUUGCGCGAUUGAAUGAGCCGAUGUCGGAUUAGCUAGUUGGCGGGGUAAAGGCCCACCAAGGCGACGAUCCGUAGCUGGUCUGAGGAGAGGACUGGCCACACUGGAACUGAGACACGGUCCAGACUCCUACGGGAGGCAGCAGUGGGGAAUAUUGGACAAUGGGCGCAAGCCUGAUCCAGCCAUACCGCGUGGGUGAAGAAGGCCUUCGGGUUGUAAAGCCCUUUUGUUGGGAAAGAAAUCCAGCUGGCUAAUACCCGGUUGGGAUGACGGUACCCAAAGAAUAAGCACCGGCUAACUUCGUGCCAGCAGCCGCAGUAA
rnacentral:rRNA from 1 species